rnacentral:lncRNA from 1 species
AAAGUUCAGACUUGACCAGCUAUUUAUUUAUUUUAUUUAUUGCCUUUCUCCUACAGCAUCCAUGGCGGCUGACAGUAUUAAAAGAAACAAAGUCAAAAACUAAAUAAUAAAUUAUUACAAUAUUUUAAAAAGCAUUAAAUAGAUAUAAUAUCAAAGCGCAUAAGAACAAUAUUGAAAGCACAAGUAAAACAGAGAAUAAAAUGAUCCGUUAGAAAAAAUCCCCGAGUUCUAUCAGUUAUUUAAAAGAAAGCCUGCUUGAAGUAGGACAAAGUGCCACAUUAGCCCCAUAAUAAUCACAAGUGCACCUGUCCCCAGCCCGCCUCUGCUCAGGCUUCCUUUCUCUUCAAGUGAAGCCAGGACUUGCAGCUGUAAAAGGCGGGCUUUUCAGCCACACACAGGCACUCCACCCCUACAGUCCCUCCCCCGUUUCUCUUUCACGUUCAGUUUUAUCUUCCCUUGGCUUCCUUUCUUCUUCAGAGACGAAUAUUUAACGCAGAAGCAAACUACUACUGCUGCUGUGAGGUUGGUUUGUUUUGAAAACUCAGGUGGUCUCUCCCUCAUGCAAGCCACAGAAGGGACUCUCCCAGAAGAGGUGGGGAAGGUUUUUGAAGAUGUUGAAGAUUACCUAGAAAUAUUGCAGACUGAGAACCUUAGUGCUAAAGCGAGGCUGCAAAAGGAUGAAAUCUUGUCUGAUAUUAAGCAACUUAAAGAAAGGUUUGUAUAUUCAGUACUUGGUUCUAGUAGGAACAAUGUCUAUUAAGCAUUGGUGGUCCUGACACUUCUCCAAGUUAUUUUAUUAUUUAUUUAUUUUAUUUCUUAAACUUAUAUACCGCCCAUCUAGAAUGUGUCUACUCUGGGUGGUUUGCAUAAAGCAUAAAAAAUAAACUAAAAGUAAAACCCGAAUUAACCGCA